GUUAGGAAUAUUGGACAAUGGGCGCAAGCCUGAUCCAGCCAUGCCGCGUGAACGAUGAAGGCCUUCGGGUUGUAAAGUUCUUUAGCCGAUGAUUAUAAUGACUGUAGUCGGAAAAUAAGCCCCGGCUAACUUCGUGCCAGCAGCCGCGGUAAUACGAAGGGGGCGAGCGUUAUUCGGAAUCACUGGGCGUAAAGCGUGCGUAGGCGGUCUCGUAAGUUAGGAGUGAAAGCCCAGGGCUCAACCUUGGAAUUGCUCUUAAAACUGCAAGGCUAGAAUCUCGGAGAGGAUAGCGGAAUUUCCAGUGUAGCAGUGAAAUGCGUAGAUAUUGGAAGGAACACCAGUGGCGUAAGCGGCUAUCUGGACGAGUAUUGACGCUGAGGUGCGAAAGCGUGGGGAGCAAACAGGAUUAGAAACCCCUGUAGUCC
rnacentral:rRNA from 1 species